rnacentral:sRNA from 1 species
GAUAGGCGGAAAGGAAGCCUCCUGGGGGUCUGGUCUGAUCCUCCUGAUCCUUGAAGAGCUUCCAGCAUCAUUCCCCCUUCAUGCUCCCCAUUUUCAUAAGUAACUGGUGGCUUGACAUGCUGGGUUUGGUUUGGGAGCCCUCUGACAAACUGAAAGGGUGGAUCAGGAAGCGUCUGACCACACCACUGGUAGACACGCUCUGCGUCCGACAAGUCCUUCCCAGCAACAUGUAGAAAGCAAAGUGCAUGCUUCAUUCUAAGGUCGUUGUCUAAAUGUUUCCCUGUGUUUCCUUUUUGUAGGAUGUGUUCUUAAUUUGCUUUUCCCUUGUGAGUCCUGCAUCAUUUGAAAAUGUCCGUGCAAAGUGGUAUCCUGAGGUGCGGCACCACUGUCCCAACACUCCCAUCAUCCUAGUGGGAACUAAACUUGAUCUUAGGGAUGAUAAAGACACGAUCGAGAAACUGAAGGAGAAGAAGCUGACUCCCAUCACCUAUCCGCAGGGUCUAGCCAUGGCUAAGGAGAUUGGUGCUGUAAAAUAUCUGGAGUGCUCGGCGCUCACACAGCGAGGCCUCAAG